CUCGUGGCCGCCCCCCCGGGGGACGCAGACUCUGACGGGACCCGACUCUCCAUGUCUGCCUAGCGCCGCGAACACGUGGGCUCUGAAGAUGUUCUCUUCCGGGGGCAGAGGGAGAAGGGAGAGCGUCUCAAGCAGAGUCCCCAGUGAGCCUGCGGAGUCCUGUCGGGGUCGAUCCCAGGACCCCGAGGCCCCGGCCCAAGCGGAAACCAGGCGCGGAAAAGGCCGCCGGGGACUGUGGAAGUCCGUGGUGCUCCCGUGUCCUGCCACCUGCAGCCAGCCCUUGGGCUCCCAGCGCCGGCUUCCUUUGCUCAGCAGACAGGAU